rnacentral:rRNA from 1 species
CCUCCGGGGGGGGGCACCGGGGAAAAUUUUCCAAUGGGGGGGCAACUGAUGCCGAGACACCGCGUGAGGGGUAUGAAGCUCUUGGUUGUGUCCUCUUUUUUUUGGACGAAGCGUAAGUGACGGUACCUGCAGAACAAGGACCGGCCAACUACGUGCCAGCAGCCGCGGUAAGACGUAGGGCGCGAGCGUUGUCCGGAUUCAUUGGGCGUAACGAGCUCGUAGGCGGCUUGUCCUGUCCUCUGUGAAAUCCCGCGGGUCAACCGCGGGACUGCAGUCGAUAACGGCACGCUUUAGUUCGGUAAGGGAGACUGGAAUUCCUGGUGUAGCGGUGAAAUGCGCACAUAUCAGGAGGAACACCGGUGGCGAAGGCGGGUCUCUGGGCCGAUACUGACGCUGAGGAGCGAAAACGUGGGGAGCGAACAGGAUUAAAUACCCUGGUAGUCCACGCUGUAAACGUUGGGCGCUAGGUGUGGGGGACCUCUCCGGUUCUCUGUGCCGCAGCUAACCCAUUAAACGCCCCCCCUGGGGAGAACGGCCGCAAGGCUAAAAAUCUAAGGAAUUGACGGGGGGCCCGCACAAUCGGCGGAGCAUGCGGAUUAAUUCUAUGCAACGCGAAGAACCUUACCUGGGUUUGACAUCAUGCGAAAACUCGCAGAGAUGCGGGGUCCCUCCGCGCGGGUGACAGGUGGUGUAUGGGUGUCUUCACCUCGUGUCGUGAGAUGUUGGUGUUAAGUCUCGCACGAGCGCAACCCUCGUUCGAUGUUGCAGCCCGGUUGGCUGGGACACUUCGAAUACUGCCGGGGUCAACUCGCAGGAGGGUGGGGGGAGGACAAAAAGUCACUAUGAACCUUUAUGUCCACGGCUUCUUACAUGGUACAUUGAUGCUACAAAGGGUUGCGUCUCCCCUAUCUGGUUACCGAAUCCCUACAGCUGGUUUCUGUU